CUCCACUCUAUAUACAUACCACUCUCUGUAGCUAUCUUUGCAGCAGCACAGUUUAGUCCCUGCGUAGCAAAUCCCAUGGAGAAGGCAGCAAAGAUCACUUUUGUUCUCACACUCAUAGUUGCAAUUUCAUUUGCCUCACUCGAGUCCACCAAUGCUGUUGAGAUAGCUCCCAACACAAAGUUUGUGCCAGCUUCUUCUCUUCUCUCAUACUUCAGGAGCCUGAAAGAGCUGGAGUGCAUGCCGCACUCUCAAUGCUGCCCCGACUCCAAGCCCUGCCCAUCAGAGGACCAGGAGUGUAAGAUCUGUGCCCACACUUAUCCUGCACUGUGCUUCUGCACGGACAAACCUGAGCUUAACAAGCUGAUGCUGUAAUCUGGAGAUGGGCGACUUGCUGCACACCUUCUGACCUGAAGAAUGGAGUAAUAAAUGUUUUUAUGUGCUAAAACUAUGUGAUUUUGGGCAUUUUCCGCUUUGCAAAUGAUCUAGUAGUGGUUAUUUCUUUGAUAGCCACGACAUGUACUGUGUCAUUCACUACUGGUAAUAAUAAAAAAACUCUCAAGCUUGUUUGAGAGUUGACAACUACAA